AACGAACGCUGGCGGCAUGCCUAACACAUGCAAGUCGAACGGGAUCCUAGCUUGCUAGGUGAGAGUGGCGGACGGGUGAGUAACACGUGGGAAUCUGCCUUUUGGUUCGGGAUAACCGCGGGAAACUGCGGCUAAUACCGAAUGCCCUCGAGAGAGGAAAGAUUUAUCGCCAGAAGAGGAGCCCGCGUCCGAUUAGGUAGUUGGUGGGGUAAAGGCCUACCAAGCCGACGAUCGGUAGCUGGUCUGAGAGGAUGAUCAGCCACACUGGGACUGAGAUACGGCCCAGACUCCUACGGGAGGCAGCAGUGGGGAAUAUUGGACAAUGGGGGCAACCCUGAUCCAGCAAUGCCGCGUGAGUGAUGAAGGCCUUAGGGUUGUAAAGCUCUUUUACCCGAGAUGAUAAUGACAGUAUCGGGAGAAUAAGCUCCGGCUAACUCCGUGCCAGCAGCCGCGGUAAAU
rnacentral:rRNA from 1 species